AAAAUGGCGGACCAAAGCUCAGGAGCUCCAAAGAGGAGCCAGGUACAGGGAGAGCAGGAAAAUAAAAGGCAGAGAGGCAUUAAACAACAAAACGUGAAGCAGCAGCAGGUGUGACGGGCGAAGCUGAAGGGUGUCACACUUGAUCUAUGAUUGGCUGUCUGUGGUCUGCAUUGCCUCAUGGGAACAAAAAGGGUGUCACACUUGGUCUCUAAUUGACUGCAGGAUGUGCCGUAUCACCUCAUAGGAAACAAGGUAGGCUGCUGUCUUAUUCAUGUUAGGGUGUA